AUAUCUGGGUCAACCCAAAGCCCAGAAAAGAGGCAGUCCACAAUGAGUCAGUAUCCAGGAAGUAGAGGCGGGAAUGGAAAAGGAAGAUUCCAAGAAUUUUCAAAAACACAAGAAAAGAGCUUUGGACUUCCACAGGCCAUGGACUGGGGAGAGGUAUAAGCCGAUAUAAAUCCAUCUUUUGGGGAAGAAGAGACGAGGACACAGAUACACAAAGAGAACCCAUCUGAAGACACAGGGAGAAGAUGGCCAUCUACAAGUGAAGAAGAGAGACCCCAGAAGAAAGGAACCAUGUAAACACCUUGAUCUUGGACUUGUAGCCUCCAGAACUGUGAGAAAUAAAUUUCUACUGUUUAAGCUA